rnacentral:misc_RNA from 1 species
UCCCUUCCACCCUUCAUUAGCGCUACCAGAUCCCUGUCCUGCCCCAUCCCCACCACCCACUCUCCCCACACCGCUUGUGGGCGCUGAAGGAGCCUGACUGCUGUUGUAGGCCAGAGAAUCGACUCCAACCCUCCUGGCCUCUUGGCGUCCGGCAGACACUAGGUGGUCAGUGUGGACAGCAACAGGCACUUGGUGAGUAGGACACUAGGUGGUCAGUGUAGACAGCAACAGGCACUUGGUGAGUAGGACACUAGGUGGUCAGUGUAGACAGCAACAGGCACUUGGUGAGUAGGACACUAGGUGGUCAGUGUAGACAGCAACAGGCACUUGGUGUGUAGGACACUAGGUGGUCAGUGUAGACAACUAACAGACACUUGGUGAGAAGGACUGAACUCAGACACUAGGUGGUCAGUGUGGACAGCAACAGGCACUUGGUGAGUAGGACACUAGGUGGUCAGUGUGGACAGCAACCAACAGACACUUGGUGUGUAGGAGGACAGCAACCAACAGACACUUGGUGUGUAGGAGGACAACGACCAACAGGCACUUGGUGUGUAGGAGGACAACAACCAACAGACACUGGCAUGCUGUGCACCAAAGAAUAACCGACACUGACCGUGUGUGGGGCAGCUGUCUGUCUGUGGUGUGUGGUGUACUGGACACACAGGGGCGACUAUCUGCGAGAAGUGUGGCCAGGGUUGUCUGGCUGAUGGCUGCACAACGCAUUUUCCGUCUUCUUCCAGUUUAGUUGGUGUCGAAGCUUGUUUCCUGCUGGACGUCCACAGCCCCGAGCCUCCUGCUCACACUUCUCUGACAUUGUGUCGCGUGCUGAGCAAGUCGCUAGCCUUUCAUUUCCCGAACAAUUAUAUUGGACUUGUGGGGUUAGGGUUGUGUGGAUGACAACCGUUUGCUCUCCCUGCAGUUAGAGUUCACUUUCUGUACACGAUAGUCACUUUGGCAAUGUGCUGGUACACGUUUUCUGGGCGGAUGGCCGGUUGUGUACAGCUUGUACCACACAGCAAGCGCCUGCAAGUUAUUUGUCUCGAGGACAUAAGUUCUUGACACCAUUGAACUACAUUCGGGACAAACUACCAACAUCCGGGACUACCUGCCUGCCUUCAUUUGAAAAAACCUUUUCACAUGUGGGUCUGGUCUACGCAUCCACUCUUGCUGAGACCUGUCCACGCUUGUUGAUUCCACUCGAACUCUGACAUUUUCUAGCUUUUGAAAAACCUGUCUUCAGUCUAAUUUAUUCCAUAGAAGGAAAAAGUUGUGGACUUGUCUAGAGCACUGGUGUGCUGCAAGAUCGCACACACUGCUUUUACUGUCACGUGAUCACGUGUUUCACUGGUGAAACAGUAGCCAAGGGGACUUUUCUAAAUACCACGAGGGAGGAAUCUUCAGACCAUCAGGCCACGUUAGCACUUCAAGGGUCAUUGAGACUUCGUUGUGACCAAGCUCUCCUCACCUUGUGUCUACACAAACGUCACCGCUACGUUACAGUCUCUCCUUACAUCGGGCCUCAAGUAGAAUCGAACUGAUAUCUGGAGAACUGAGAUCACAUGACUGCUCUUGGACUGAACACAAUCCGGUCUCGUGCAAGUGAACACCACACUUGUAACAAGAUAACUUUGUAUCCAAGUAACGCACAAAGUAGUGACGUGCAAAUGUGAACAACACACGUUACACCAAACAUUCUCCCAAACAGCUGAGUACAGUGAUCAAAGUGCCAGUGACACGUCACCCCACCAGUAAACUAAGACAGGAGCGCAUAGCCCAGUGACGUCACCGGCAAGUGACGCGACCUGACAUAGCAGGAUCGUCCCGUGACGUCACCAGCACCAUGCCAGGGUCCACGGAAACCCUGCCCAACACCAUUCGUGUCAAGCUGGUGAAACAGAAACAUGGCGGCCUGGGCUUCCUGGUCAAGCAGCGCACACAGAAGCCCUUCGUCGUCGUGGCUGACCUGGUGGCCGGUGGCAUCGCAGAGGAGAGCGGCCUUGUGCAGGUUGGAGAUAUCAUCCUCCGCAUCAACGACAUCAACCUGGCCGACAUGAGCUACGACAGCGCCAUCGAGAUCCUGAAGGCGGUGCCGACAGAUGCUCCAGUCGUGCUGCUGCUGCGGGGUCCCGAGGGCUACACCACCCACCUGCAGACCACCUUCCUGGAGAGUGGCUUGCCCCACACCGUGCGCGUCACGCGCGCCGUGCAAGACUCGCUGAUGGGGCGCCUGCGCAAGACCUUUUCCUCCAACGGCUCGUCGUCGCCGGUGAAGACUAUCAAGCGCCUGUGUAAGGGGAGCGAUGACAACGCCGACAAUAAGAACGCUGGAGCUGCCGAUGUGGACACGCUUGACGUCAUCGAGGCCACCCACACUGCGUGUCCGGAUGACGUCAGCAGCAGUCCAGGUCUUGCCCUCCAUGACACCAUGGCCGUUGUGACAAACGAUGACAAAAAAUCAGUUGAAGACACCAUCCUGGAACACGAGAUCAGGGGUUCGCCAAAGAUUGUCUUGACGACACCAAACGUUCCGGACAAACGAUCCAACGGCGAAAUGUCGGAAUUGGGAUCUGUGAGUGGACAACAGGCCAUUGGCCACAGCCGCAAGGCCAUCGAGAUCGUCCAGGACAACGACCAGAUUACCGUCGUCGUCAAGGGCGACGUGCGCAUCGAGAGCUCCAGCGACGGCCAUCAAACACCCAAGCGCUUUGUCAUCAGCAGCAACCCUCGCCCUGCGGCCCACAGUGCAGACGACAACUACAAUCACAAACCUAGUAACGGCCAUCUGCAACCGCAAGAUCAGAGUUCGCCGGAGAAUCAAACGGACGGCGAGGCCUCGGACACAGACGAGGGGAGAAUGGGGGGAGCCCGCAACAGACACAGCGGAGGGGCGCAGAGAGGUGAGCGGCGUGGGUCGGCCACCAGCCCCAAGCGGUUCGCCAAAGUCCACAACCUGCUGGACAACAAGACCUUUGUGGACGUCCUGCACCAGAAAGUCAUCGAGAACAUGACUUGCACCCCAGAGAGGUGCAUGGGGUCGUUGAUGAACACAGCCGUGAAGACAGGGCCACCCAGGAGAGGGGAGGACCUGCUGGUGCAAGCCAAGGACUUCAUUGAGCAGUACUUCGCCUCCAACAAACGUCUCCACACGCCUGCGCACCACAAGCGGUGGGCGGAAGUGCUGGCGUCAGUGGAGCGCAGCGGGUCGUACGAGCUGACGACGGCGGAGCUGAGUUUCGGCGCCAAGACUGGCUGGCGCAACGCCCCCCGCUGCAUCGGUCGCAUCCAGUGGAGCAAACUGCAGGUGUUCGAUGCCCGCCACAUCACCACUGCCCGCGGCAUGUACGAAGCCCUGUGCAACCACAUCAAGUACGGCACCAACAAAGGCAAUCUCAGAUCCGCCAUUACCAUCUUCCCUCAAAGGCAGAAGGGCAGGGGCGACUACCGUGUGUGGAACUCUCAGCUGAUUAUGUAUGCAGGGUACAGACAGCCAGACGGCACCGUCAUCGGCGAUCCGAAGUCCGUGGAAUUUACAGAGGUGGUGAUGAAGAUGGGGUGGCGGCCUAAGGGCACCAUGUUCGACGUCCUGCCCCUGGUUCUGCAAGCGGGUGGCCACGACCCCGAGUUUUUCGAGAUACCACCGGAACUGAUCCUGGAGGUUCCUAUUAAACAUCCCAAAUACCCGUGGUUUGCGGAGCUGGGGUUGAGGUGGUACGCCCUGCCUGCCGUGUCCGCCAUGCUGUUUGACUGUGGUGGCCUGGAGUUCACUGCCUGCCCCUUCAAUGGCUGGUACAUGGGAACUGAGAUAGGUGCCCGGGACUUUUGUGACACCAACAGAUUCAACAUUCUGGAGAAUGUGGCGCUCAAGAUGGGGCUGGACAUCCGCAAAACCUCUUCGCUGUGGAAGGACCGAGCUUUGGUGGAGAUCAACAUCGCGGUGCUGCACAGCUAUCAGACAGCUGGAGUGACCAUUACUGACCACCACGCCGCGGCUGAGUCGUUCAUGAAGCACCUGGACAACGAGCAGCGCCUGCGGGGCGGGUGUCCAGCUGACUGGGUGUGGGUGGUGCCACCUAUGAGUGGCUCACUGACGCCAGUCUUUCACCAAGAAAUGCUGUGCUACAAACUAAAGCCUUCCUACGAAUAUCAGGAAGACCCCUGGAAAACACACGUGUGGAAGAAAGAUCGGGACAAGCCCAAGUCUUCUGACAGACCCAAGCGCAAGUUUGGUUUCCGGGAACUAGCCAGGGCCGUCAAGUUCUCCGCCAAGUUGAUGGGACGCGCGCUGGCUCGGCGGGUGAAGUGCACCAUCCUGUACGCCACAGAGACGGGCAAGUCCGAGCGCUUCGCCACCACACUGUGCGAGAUCUUCAAGCACGCCUUUGACGCUAAGGUGGUCUGUAUGGAGGCCUAUGACGUCACGUCUCUGGAGCACGAGUCACUUGUUCUCAUCGUGACCAGUACGUUUGGCAACGGAGACCCACCAGAAAACGGCGAGGCUCUGGCCAAAAGCUUGUUUGAAAUGAAACACCCGGAAAAAUCGGGCAGUACCAGCUUCUCCUCAUCGUCCUAUAUCCGCAUGAGUGUCUCGAGUCCCCGCAACAGUCGCACUGACGAGCGUGAGACCAGUGACGAUGACAAACUGACGAUGGAGACAGGUCCUCUGAGCAAUGUCAGGUACUCUGUGUUCGCCCUGGGAUCACGUGCCUAUCCCCACUUCGCAGCCUUUGGCCACUACAUGGACAAAAUUCUCAGUGAACUGGGUGCAGAGGUCAUCCACCCGCUGAUCGAAGGCGACGAGCUGUGCGGGCAGGAGGAGAGUUUCCGCAAGUGGGCGGAGCAAGUCUUCCAGGCUGCGUGCGAAACCUUUUGUCUGGGUGAUGAUGUCAACCUGUCAGAAGCCACAGGAGCGCUGUCCAAUGCCGACCACUGCUGGACAGCCUCCACAUUUCGCAUCACACCGCUGGACAACGCCACAGACGCCGACAUCAGCAAGGCUCUCUCAAAACUUCACGGGAAGACUGUGCUACCCUGCCGCCUGACCGAGAGAAUUCAGCUGCAGUCACCGCAGUCAGGGAGACAAACUAUUCUUGUGAAACUGAAUACCCAGGAUUCCUCAGAACUCCAAUACCUACCUGGCGACCAUCUAGGAAUAUUCCCUUCUAAUCCUCCCGAACUCGUGGAAGCCAUCUUGGCUCGCCUGCACGGUGCCCCGGCCCCUGAGCAAGUCGUCAAAACAGAAUUUCUACAAGAAGUAUCCUCAGCUCUGGGAUCCUCCAAAAACUGGACACCAUUUGAGAAAAUGCCCGUAUGCUCCAUGCGAACAGCACUGACACACUUCCUGGAUGUCACCACGCCACCCACUCAAACCUUUCUACAGCUGCUGGCCACCCUGGCCACACGGGACAUGGACAAGGACCGCCUGGAGCAGCUGGCAAAGGACUCAAAGGCGUAUGAAGAGUGGCGGUAUGAGCUUAACCCCAAUCUCCUGGAAGUGCUGGACCAGUUUCCCUCUCUCAAAGUUCCACCUUCGCUGGUGAUGACGCAGCUUCCGCUUCUGCAGCAACGGUUCUACAGCAUCAGUUCUUCGCCUCAGGAAUGUGUGGGAGAAAUUCAUGCAACCAUCGCUGUUGUUCGAUACAGAACACAAGGUGGCGCCGGACCUAUACACGAAGGUGUGUGUUCCGGCUGGCUGAACACGUGUGCCAUGGGGGAAACCGUUCCGUGCACCGUGCGAGCAGCACCAGCCUUCCGCCUACCCGAGGACCAGACGCUGCCCAUCAUUAUGGUGGGGCCUGGUACCGGCAUAGCGCCCUUCCGAAGUUUCUGGCAACAGAGGAAGAUUGACAUGGACAUGAAACCCUUGCCAUCUCAUGGAGAACGCCGAGGUUGGGGUGAGAUGUACAUUUAUUUCGGAUGCCGACAAGCCUCCAUGGACGACAUUUACCGAGACGAAAUUAACCUGAUGAAAUCCUUGAAUGUCUUGACUGAAGACUACUUAGCUUUGUCUCGUGAAGAAGGAAAACCAAAGGUGUACGUGCAAGACAUCCUGUACAGCAAUGCAGCAGCCACGUUUGAGACAGUGGUCAAGCGAGGAGGCCAUUUCUAUGUUUGCGGUGAUGUCUCCAUGGCCAACGAUGUGACAAAGACACUGGAACACAUCCUGUGUCAGCUGGGAAACAUGGAGCCGGACAAGGCCAAGAACUUUGUCCUCAAGCUGAAGAAUGCCAACAGGUUCCAUGAGGAUAUCUUCGGGGUCAGCAUUCAGCGUGGCACUGAAGUUGGGGACAAACCCAGUGAGCACACGCGCAGCGCGUGGAAGUUCAUUGACGUCACAGGCAAGCCGGCCACCCGUGAAGUAGUCCAGGCAAUGCCUGCACCAGAGAAGAAAAUGACUGUCGGAAAGCCACGCGCACCAGUGAAAAACGUUUUCAACCAACACAAGGAUCCAUAAGUACUCAUCUUUUCUAACAUUAUUUCAGGGCACAUCCUCCCGUGUUCUUCCUUCCUUUUGUAUGUUUAAGGGAUCUUCAUGUACUCUUCCUUCCUAACAUGUGGACUGCUGCAACACGUUUGUCUAAUAAUAUUUGUGCAUGAGUGAAUUGCUACUGGUCUUGUCAGGGUUAGGAUCACCAUAAGGUGACAUGCAGCUAUCUAUGGGUGAGGAGUAGAUACUGGCACUUUUUCAGUUUAACGGCUAUUCUGAACAACGCUGAACGUGUUUUGCAGAAUUUAGUAAAAUUGUCAUGGUAACAGAUUUGUAAAGAGUAAAGGUUGAAGCGAUGGAUCACACUACACAUUUUUAAAUACAAAAGUCUGAGAAUCAUCUGAUCUACACAACACAAGGUUGAGAACUGUCCAAAUUAUAUUUACAGAGGACACAAGGUUGAGAACUGUCCAUGUUACACAUUUUGAAACAAAAGAAUUACAAGAAUGUGCAUUAGAGGUGUUUUCAAGUUUAUAUGGCAUAUAGAAUGAUUUGUCUAUUAUGCAUCUUAUUAUAUUGAUAUUAUUAUUGAAACUACAGAAUUAUUUAUUAUAACUACCAUAACAUGCUUAUUAGUAGAAGGAAACGCUAUUUGAUUCAGAUGUCACAUGGACAAAAGUCUGUGUAUGACAGAUACUGUGUGCUGUCAACCACAGGUGCUCUAACAGAAGUAGCCUCCCAGCCUGCAAGAAAUCAUGGGUUCGUUAUUGGACCAAUCCGAGUCCAGAUGUGGGUCCCUCGCGGGAAACUAAGUCUGAACCCAGCGGGAUUUGAAAGUGGUAUCGUCAAGGAACCCAGGCGGCUGUACCCGUUUACAACCGUCAUUUCCCGUGAAAGCCCCGUUUGUAGGCCGCAUUGAAACCUUCAAAGCCCCGCACGCACCCGUCCCUCAGUCUCACACCCCUUUACCACCGCUAGUACACAGGCUAGCUAGCGGAAGUACCAUGUGCGAGGGCAAAGGUUAGCUACAGUUAAGACCGGCCGGUUACAUCAAUAUUCCACAAAAAGUACUACAAUGGUUAUUUACAGUAGAACCUCGGAUUACAAACAUAAUUCGUGCUCGUAAUUCAAAUCACUCGUAUAUCGAAGCAAAUUUUCACGUGAGAAAUGUUUAAAAUGCAGACGAUUCGUUUCAGAACCCCAAAAUAUUUAUUCAUGCCAUACUAUGCCUCACAAUACUAUGGAUGCCACUUCUAUCAAACCAUUCCGUUUGUCUUAAAACUUUCUUUGUUUUCUGUACAUGGCAGAUUGCUGACGAGGUCGGUGCACAGGGCCGUUGCCCUCUCCCAGAUUACAUUCUCGGUGACAGAAUCACCUGCUAUAGUUGCUUCUCGUUUAUCCGCACAAGAAGCAACUUUUUCUUCAUCUUGCAGAACUCGUGGCCGUUGCUUUGAUACUCUGGUGACUCCUUUUCCAGCAUCUACCCACCUUAUCUCUCCUUCAAUGUGCUGCAGAUCGUUGACGUUACACUUUCGCGAACUCUGACCCUCAUACCUCGUUCGUGCUUUUCUAUUAUUUCAUUCUUAAUUUCCAUCAGAAUACGUCCUCCUAACCCUAAUCCUCCUCUCAGCCUUUUUCUGGGCGAGGCCCAUUGUUUCCGUGCAGACGCACGUGGUUGCAAUUGGCUCUAACGAUCAUGUGAUGGUGACUGUGAGAGCGAGGCAUGCCAAGUGAAGUCCAUCGUGAGAGAAUUACCCACAAUCCAUCAGCGAGAGAGGGGUGGGGAGGAGAGAGCUCACGUGAUGCUCGUAUUGCUCAAUUAUGCUCGUUUACCGAGUUUACACAUUUUUUUUAAUGUUAGUCUUGCAAAGCACUCACAGACGAGGUCACUGGUAAUCCGAGGUUCCACUGUAAGAUCCUAAAUUAUUUAUGUAUGACUAUCCACUGUUAAAAGAGUUGUUUUAUAACAUCUUUCACACGAGUUUUAAUCAGAAUCACUUGAGAGAUCGGCGGUGUUUGUCUCGACAUGCAGUACGAACUAAUCCUUUCAGUCUGUGAAAGGGUCAAAGUGACCAGAGUUGGUCUAACCCGGUGAACCACUUACAUGCGGGCAAAGGAAGUGUGCGACAAGAUCAUGUUUCAAAUGGCCAGCGAAUCCGAGCAUGGCAACAUGAUUGCGGAAUAAAAGUCCGACAUACGGGUCCUCAUCAUCCCUCAGGUCAUGACCCGUCUCAAGUUCCGUCACUCCGCGUGUUCGCCUCUCUGUCCUUUGCUGGACCCUGCAUUUCUCCGCCUCUCUUGCAGGCUGGCUGGUCUGUCAUUUUGUGAUAACAUGUUUGAAGAAGACAGCGGGCUAGGAUAAGAUCCACCUCAGAUUGCCUCACAUCAGACGCGCAUUCAUUUGGAACACAAACCACGUGACUCAGUCCCAGAGGAGAAGUGAGAUGAGUCUUCAACAAGAUCUUUGUGGUUUUGAAGACAAGAAAUGACUCAAAUAGUACCUACCACACAUAAAGUUGCUCACAUUAUUAUACUGAGCUGACAAAUGAUGUCUUGUAAAAUUAUUGUACCAAUGUUUUGUUUCAUUUUUCGCUCUGCUUUACUUGUGUCUUGCUACUGACCUUUGCCAUGAACGACUUGUCUACAACUGUCCUAGUCUGCUUGUUCCUGGAGUAAAUCUUUCUGUACAUCAAAUACAUUUACCAGCAUGUGUGUACAUGUGACUGUACUCAUCUACAGCUGCAAAACAGAACUUUUAAUUUGCGUUGUUAAUAAUAAUGUGAACUUAAAACGACCAAAGGUAGAUGGCGCUCUCUGCGCAGACCAAUAAUGAUAGAUGAAAGAUAACAGGUAGUCGACAGUGAGGUACUACAGACACACUGAACAACAUAAAGAUGAGGUACAAGAUAACAGUAGACAGUGAGGUACAAUAGACACACUAACAACAUAAAGAUGAGGUACAAGAUAACAGUAGACAGUGAGGUACUAUAGACACACU